rnacentral:rRNA from 1 species
UACGAAGGGGGGCUAGCGUUGCUCGGAUUGACUGGGCGUAAAGGGCGCGUAGGCGGUUCGUACAGUCAGACGUGAAAUUCCUGGGCUCAACCUGGGGGCUGCGUUUGAUACGUGCGGACUUGAGUGCGGAAGAGGGUCGUGGAAUUCCCAGUGUAGAGGUGAAAUGCGCAGAUAUCAGGAGGAACACCGGUGGCGAAGGCGGGUCUCUGGGCCGAAACUGACGCUGAGGAGCGAAAGCGUGGGGAGCAAACAGG